rnacentral:rRNA from 1 species
CGUGCCUAAUACAUGCAAGUCGAGCGAACAGACGAGGAGCUUGCUCCUCUGACGUUAGCGGCGGACGGGUGAGUAACACGUGGAUAACCUACCUAUAAGACUGGGAUAACUUCGGGAAACCGGAGCUAAUACCGGAUAAUAUAUUGAACCGCAUGGUUCAAUAGUGAAAGACGGUUUUGCUGUCACUUAUAGAUGGAUCCGCGCCGCAUUAGCUAGUUGGUAAGGUAACGGCUUACCAAGGCAACGAUGCGUAGCCGACCUGAGAGGGUGAUCGGCCACACUGGAACUGAGACACGGUCCAGACUCCUACGGGAGGCAGCAGUAGGGAAUCUUCCGCAAUGGGCGAAAGCCUGACGGAGCAACGCCGCGUGAGUGAUGAAGGUCUUCGGAUCGUAAAACUCUGUUAUUAGGGAAGAACAAAUGUGUAAGUAACUAUGCACGUCUGACGGUACCUAAUCAGAAAGCCACG